AUUGAACGCUGGCGGCAGGCCUAACACAUGCAAGUCGAGCGGAUGAAGGGAGCUUGCUCCUGGAUUCAGCGGCGGACGGGUGAGUAAUGCCUAGGAAUCUGCCUGGUAGUGGGGGAUAACGUCCGGAAACGGGCGCUAAUACCGCAUACGUCCUGAGGGAGAAAGUGGGGGAUCUUCGGACCUCACGCUAUCAGAUGAGCCUAGGUCGGAUUAGCUAGUUGGUGGGGUAAAGGCCUACCAAGGCGACGAUCCGUAACUGGUCUGAGAGGAUGAUCAGUCACACUGGAACUGAGACACGGUCCAGACUCCUACGGGAGGCAGCAGUGGGGAAUAUUGGACAAAGGGCGAAAGCCUGAUCCAGCCAUGCCGCGUGUGUGAAGAAGGUCUUCGGAUUGUAAAGCACUUUAAGUUGGGAGGAAGAGCAGUAAGUUAAUCCCUUGCUGUUUUGACGUUACCAACAGAAUAAGCACCGGCUAACUUCGUG
rnacentral:rRNA from 1 species